UUAUUUCUUGAGCCACAGCAUUCAACUAAGAACUGUAACUACCUUAGCUUGCUUCCUAUAGUAGAGAGCACAUUUUGACCCUGCUUUUCAAAUUAUGUUCUGUCUUUUAUUUCCUCCUUAAGUUAGAGAAGUCAUCUUGUUGGUAGCUGCACUGUGAAGGUUUCUGACUCAUCUGUGACAUUCGUUCAAGAAAUGAUUCAAAAUAGGAUGUCUUUCUGAUGUCAGGGUGAUGGUGUAAAUUAUUUAUAGAAAUCUUUAUAUUUUAGAAGCUAGAAGACUUGAGUACUUCAUGUCGUGUACACAUGUGCCUUAUGAUACAAAGUUUUCCUUCUGACAUAAGUCCAUUGUUCAGUGAAUGCUUCAAAUAACUGUAUAGUUUUUUAUACGACCGCAAAAAAAUUUUUGUGGUCGUAUAUUGGUAUGACGUUGGCGUCGUCGUCGUCGUCCGGCGUCGUCGUCGUCCAGCGUCGUCGUCCGAAUACACAUUAGUUUUCGCACUCUAACUUUAGUUUAAGUGAAUGAAUCUCAAUGAAAUUUUACCAUAAGGUUCAAUACCACAAAAGGAAGGUGGGGAUUGAUUUUGGGGGUUAUGGUACCCACAGUUAAGGAAUUAGGGGCCAAAAAGGGGCCAAAAAUAAGCAUUUUUGUAACUUCCAGACAUAACUUGUGUGUAAGUGUAUGGAUCUCUCUGACAUUGUACCACAAGGUUCCAUAUCACAAAGGGAAUGCUGGGAUUGAUUUUGGGGGUAAUUGCCUCCAUAUUUUAGGAAUUAGGGGCCAAAAAGGGGCGAAAAACAAGCAUUUUUCUAGUUUCAUGACAAUAACUUGUGUGUAAGUGUAUGGAUCUUUAUGAAAUUGUACUACAAGGUUCCAUAUCACAAAGGGAAAGCUGGAAUUGAGUUUGGGGGUAAUUGCCCAAAAAGUUUAGGAAUAAGGGGCCAAAAAGGGGCCAAAAAUAAGCAUUUUUCUAGUUUCCAGACAAUAACUUGUGUUCAAAUGUAUGGAUCUCUCUGAAAUUGUACUGCAAGGUACCAUACCUCAAAGGGAAGGCUGGGAUUGAUUUUUGGGGGUAAUUCCCUCAAAAUUUUAGUUAUUAGGGGCCAUUAAAGGGCAAAAAACAAGCAUUUUUCUAGUUUCAGGACAAUAACUUGUGUGUAAGUGUAUGGAUCUUUAUGAAAUUGUACUGCAAGGUUCCAUAUCACAAAGGGAAAGCUGGGUUUGAGUUUGGGGGUAAUUGCCCUAAACGUUUAGGAAUUUGGGGCCAAAAAACAAGCAUUUUUCUAGUUUCAAGACAAUAACUUGUGUUCAAGUGUAUGGAUCUCUCUGAAAUUGUACUGCAAGGUACCAUACCACAAAGGGAAAGCUGGGAUUGAGUUUGGGCCAAUGGGGUGAUGAAUCAUAAGGGGGUUCAAAAAAAUUUGGGGGAUUUUUUUUUCUUUUUUUCAUACAUGUAAACCUCCCGACGGUAGUACAAUAAUCCCGUUUUCAGGGGUCUCCUCCCGACCUCGCGUUGAAGAGAAAAAAAUCCUGUGUAUGAAAUCUGCCCAACAUAUCAUCUCAGACAUCUGGUGUAACUGACAUCACCUGAAGUUAUAUUUUACCUAUAAAUCAAUUAACAUGCAUAAUUAUAUGGCUUCACUUGUCAGCUUGGGUGUCAAACAUUCUGGUAAUCAACGAUUUUUACCUCAGGCUAACUGCCGUUGUGUAAUAAAAACUUUGUGUAUUUAUUGGGUUACUUCCCCUGAUUUAUCCUGUUUUAAGUUACUUUCCUUUAAAUAAUGUAAAUUUUUAAAAGAAUAUAAAUAAAAUAUAAAUUGAACAAAUAAUCAUAAAAGGAUGGUAAUUAAAUGAUUUUAAAUGUCUUAGGACAAAUCAAAAAAUAAUAAUUUGAAAAUUAUUUGAGGGUUCUAUACUUUCUUUCAAGGCUUAAAUUGAAUUCAUAUAAUAACUAUGACCCAUGU